rnacentral:rRNA from 1 species
GACGAACGCUGGCGGCGUGCUUAACACAUGCAAGUCGAACGGAAAGGCCCUGCUUUUGUGGGGUGCUCGAGUGGCGAACGGGUGAGUAACACGUGAGUAACCUGCCCUUGACUUUGGGAUAACUUCAGGAAACUGGGGCUAAUACCGGAUAGGAGCUCCUGCUGCAUGGUGGGGGUUGGAAAGUUUCGGCGGUUGGGGAUGGACUCGCGGCUUAUCAGCUUGUUGGUGGGGUAGUGGCUUACCAAGGCUUUGACGGGUAGCCGGCCUGAGAGGGUGACCGGCCACAUUGGGACUGAGAUACGGCCCAGACUCCUACGGGAGGCAGCAGUGGGGAAUAUUGCACAAUGGGCGGAAGCCUGAUGCAGCAACGCCGCGUGCGGGAUGACGGCCUUCGGGUUGUAAACCGCUUUCGCCUGUGACGAAGCGUGAGUGACGGUUAUGGGUAAAGAAGCACCGGCUAACUCCGUG